rnacentral:rRNA from 1 species
UGGGGAAUCUUGGACAAUGGGGGCAACCCUGAUCCAGCCAUGCCGCGUGAGUGAUGAAGGCCUUAGGGUCGUAAAGCUCUUUCGCCUGUGAAGAUAAUGACGGUAGCAGGUAAAGAAACCCCGGCUAACUCCGUGCCAGCAGCCGCGGUAAUACGGAGGGGGUUAGCGUUGUUCGGAAUUACUGGGCGUAAAGCGCACGUAGGCGGACCAGAAAGUUGGGGGUGAAAUCCCGGGGGCUCAACCCCGGAACUGCCUCCAAAACUAUUGGUCUAGAGUUCGAGAGAGGUGAGUGGAAUUCCAAGUGUAGAGGUGAAAUUCGUAGAUAUUUGGAGGAACACCAGUGGCGAAGGCGGCCUCCUGGCUCGAUACUGACGCUGAGGUGCGAAAGCGUGGGGAGCAAAGCAGGAUUAGA